GACGAACGCUGGCGGCGUGCUUAACACAUGCAAGUCGAACGGAAAGGCCCCUUUGGGGGUACUCGAGUGGCGCACGGGUGAGUAACACGUGAGUAACCUGCCCUUGACUUCGGGAUAACUUCAGGAAACUGGGGCUAAUACCGGAUAGGAAUCCUUGCUGCAUGGUGGGGGUUGGAAAGCUUCGGCGGUUUUGGAUGGACUCGCGGCUUAUCAGCUUGUUGGUGGGGUAGUGGCUUACCAAGGCUUUGACGGGUAGCCGGCCUGGGAGGGCGACCGGCCACAGUGGAACUGAGAUACGGCCCAGACUCCUACGGGAGGCAGCAGUGGGGAAUAUUGCACAAUGGGCAGACGCCUGAUGCAGCAACGCCGCGUGCGGGAUGACGGCCUUCGGGUUGUAAACCGCUUUCAGCAGGGGCGAAGCUUGUGGUGACGGUACCUGCAGAAGAAGCACCGGCUAACUACGUG
rnacentral:rRNA from 1 species